GACGAACGCUGGCGGCGUGCCUAAUACAUGCAAGUUGAGCGAUGAAGAUUGGUGCUUGCACCAAUUUGCAGAGCAGCGAACGGGUGAGUAACGCGUGGGGAAUCUGCCUUUGAGCGGGGGACAACAUUUGGAAACGAAUGCUAAUACCGCAUAACAACUUUAAACAUAAGUUUUAAGUUUGAAAGAUGCAAUUGCAUCACUCAAAGAUGAUCCCGCGUUGUAUUAGCUAGUUGGUGAGGUAAAGGCUCACCAAGGCGAUGAUACAUAGCCGACCUGAGAGGGUGAUCGGCCACAUUGGGACUGAGACACGGCCCAAACUCCUACGGGAGGCAGCAGUAGGGAAUCUUCGGCAAGGGACGAAAGUCUGACCGAGCAACGCCGCGUGAGUGAAGAAGGUUUUCGGAUCGUAAAACUCUGUUGGUAGAGAAGAACGUUGGUGAGAGUGGAAAGCUCAUCAAGUGACGGUAACUACCCAGAAAGGGACGGCUAACUACGUG
rnacentral:rRNA from 1 species